rnacentral:rRNA from 1 species
CGCAUCUGUGCAUGCAGCAUAUCAAUAAGCGGAGGAAAAGAAACUAACAAGGAUUCCCCUAGUAACGGCGAGUGAAGCGGGAAGAGCUCAAAUUUGAAAUCUUAAAGGGUUUCCCUUUACGAAUUGUAGUUUAAAGAAGUGUUUUCUGUUGAGGUUUUGGUAAAAGUUCUUUGGAAUAGGACAUCAUAGAGGGUGAGAAUCCCGUAUUCGACCUUUACUUUCAACUUUGUGAUACACUUUCAAAGAGUCGGAUUGUUUGGGAAUGCAGUCCAAAAUGGGUGGUAAAUUUCAUCUAAAGCUAAAUAUUGGCGAGAGACCGAUAGCGAACAAGUACCGUGAGGGAAAGAUGAAAAGAACUUUGAAAAGAGAGUUAAACAGUACGUGAAAUUGUCAAAAGGGAAGCGUUUGACACCAGUGUUGUUUUUCUGAAAAUCAAUUAAAGAACUGUUUAUGCUAAGCUGUUUAGACUUUAUCAGCUAUCUGUUUAGUUUUGAGCUUUUCUUUAAUGCACUUUUCAGUUAACAAGUCAACAUCAAUUUCUUUUGCUGUAAAAAAGCUUGAGGAAGGUGGCUUGAGAUUCGUCUUAAGUGUUUAUAGCCUCUUGCCUAUGCAGUCGGAGAGAUUGAGGUCUGCAGCGUAGAUCCUUCGGGGCUAAAUGCAUUUGUGCUAAGUUAUAGCAUUUUAUAGACAACUUGUUGACUAUGAUUUGUCUUGUAGCUUACUCGCUUAUGUUAUUUUACCUACGCUUAGGAUGUUGAAUCUGUGCGAGACUAC